UUCCGCCAGUAUGAUUACACUUUCCUGCGAAUUUGAAUAAUUUCUUGAAUCAGCGUGCAAAACUAAACGUUUUAAAAACAAUGAAAGUGCAAGAACUACCGGAAAAUGGUUGCGCGAAUGUCGAACAAGAGAUGGCCGGUGCCCAGGACACCAUUUACCUGUGCAACUUCCGGGUGUCCGUCGAUGGCGAAUGGUUGUGCCUGAAGGAAUUGCAAGACAUUGAAUUUAAUAUGCAGGAUUCCAUUAAUAGUAAAAUUAUGUCGCCACCCACACCAGAACCUAUGUCCCUCUUUGGCCGUGAUCCAGUAGUAAUUGAACGAAGUAACCUUGUAAACAUUAGCAAACUAGUUGUUAAAGAACUAAUCGAGCAAUCCUUAAAAUAUGGCCGAAUGCUUGACUCAGACCACAUGCCCCUUCAACACUUUUUUAUUGUCUUGGAACAUGUCUUGCGGCAUGGAUUAAAACCUAAAAAGGGGCUACUUGGACCGAAAAAAGAACUAUGGGACAUCUUGCAGCAGGUUGAAAAAUACGCACCGGAAGCUCAAGAUAUUACAUCUAGUGUUAAGAAUCUCCCUACAGUUCGAACUCAUAUGGGCCGAGCACGUGCAUGGCUCCGAAUAGCUCUUAUGCAAAAGAAACUUGCUGACUACCUAAAAGUUCUCAUCGAUCACAAAGACGAAGCUUUAGUAGAAUAUUUUGAGCCAGACGCUUUAAUGUUAAGCGACGAAGCUAUCGUCAUCAUAGGGUUGUUGGUUGGCUUAAAUGUCAUUGAUUGUAAUCUGUGUGUUAAAGAAGAAGACUUGGAUUGUCCUCAAGGCGUGAUAGAUUUCUCUCUUUAUCUCCGUUCUCCAAACCAUAUUUCAGCCGAAUCCAAUAACGAUGAACAAGGUGAUAAUAUGGUAACCGUUUUGGACCAGAAAAAUUACAUUGAGGAACUAAACAGGCAUUUAAAUGCAACAGUGGCAAACUUACAGACUAAAGUGGAAAGCCUGACCACCACCAAUGCUCUCAUGAAAGAAGAUUUGGCUAUUGCCAAAAAUAAUCUUAUGGCCCUCUAUGAGGAAAAUCGUCAGCUAAGGGCUGAGUGCGGUAAAGAUCCCGGAGGUUAUGUUAUGAGCCUAAGUGGGGUUAAUAUUAUAACAACUAAUGAUAGAGAAGGGAGAGUUCCCACUGGAGAACUUGAAGAACUGAAGCAAAGACUGGAGGAAGAACGUAGAUUAAGGCAGGAAGCUGAUCAUGAAUUGGAGCUACAAAUUUGUCUAAAAGCAGAGAUGGAAGUUGCCAUGAAACUACUGGAGAAAGAUAUUCACGAGAAGCAGGACACAAUUAUUUCUCUUAGGAGGCAAUUGGACGAUAUAAAACUGAUUAAUUUGGAAAUGUAUAAAAAGCUUCAGGAAUGUGAAAUGGAGUUGACCCAAAAAGGCGAAAUGGUCAGUCGUCUACAAGCCAAGGCCGGCCAAAUCGGCAAGAUCCUUAAUAAUCUCGAAAAAUAUAAUCAUUUGCUAAAAGACGAGAAGAAAUCGGGCGACAAACGUACCGAGAAACGACAAUGCACUAAAAACGAUAUUAGAGAACACGCCCUCAAAAAGCUGAAUAUUAAUUUGAGCAAGGACAUUACUAAUAAAGAUCUGAAGGGUGGCGGUGGGUCGUCUAAAGAAGAAAUAUCUCCUAAGCCGGAUUCGAGUAAGGAAGUUGAAAAAUCUACGGAAGAAACGGGUAGACUCUCCUCGGACUCUACGGAUUCCUUUGUUAAGUUGGAUUUAGAGUCCGAAGAGAAAAAUGAAGCUUAGGAGGUGUUCAUUCUCGAGGCGUUCGGCGUGCUUGUUUUGUCGUUGGGAACCUUGUUAGUAUUUUUGCUGUUUGUUCAUCUUCUGUGUUGCCUCGAAGCACAAUUCAAAUAUCUUUAAUGAUUUUUUUUAAAUUUUUAUAGGAAAUAUUUUUCAUUCAAUAGCGAAAUUGAUACAAGGGAUGUGAUAAACAGUGGUGGCUCCUCCGUUAGGUCAUUGGCAAUCAAUGUCUAUCUUCGAAAAAUGUAUUUUUGUUUAACUGUAUUUGAAGAUUAUUUCAAAUGGCUAAAAAAUAUGAAAAAUUAUAUAUUUUUUUAAUUAUUGCCAUUAAUAAUUAAAAUUAAUAAUGGUAAACAUAUGAAUAAAAUAUUUAAAAUGAUUUAAAAAAUAUUAAAGUUUCUGGAAUAAAAGUACUGCAAAUGACUGAAAGAUAUGAAUUACCUCCGAAAGUCUGAAAAAUAUAAAAGAUAUUUCAAAUACACAGAAGACGAAAAUCAAUGCCUGUAAUAAAAUUAAGAAAAUACAUCAAAAGAUCUGAAAGAUAUAAACUUAUUCCAAAGAGCUGCAUUAAAAUAGAGUACUUGAACGUCUUUAAAAGAAAGUAUUCUGAGAAAAAAUUAGACAUCUGGAGCCUGGAAAACAUAAACAAUUAUUUGCAAUAUGUGUAAUAAAAAUGAAAAGUAUUUUAAAGAUGUAAUAACGUCUGGAACGUAUAGAAAACGACUUUAAUUGUCUGAAAGCUAUAAAAAAUGUCUGCAUUAAAAAUGUUUGAAUGAUUGAAAAACUAAAUAUUUUGUAAUAAAUGUAAAAAAAAAACAUUGAAUUUGAAAAUGUAAUAUAGUUGGACAUCUGGAAUCACUUUUAAACCUCAAUCAGCUCAUGUUAAGGAAGUUCUUAUCAUUAAUUAAUCAACUAAUACUUUUAAAAAACUUCUAAACACUCGUUGCAUAUAAUACUAAACUGAUAUUGAUGACUUCUUUAUCCUGCCUAUUGAUCGAACCACGAGCCGCCACUGGUAAUAAUUAAAAGAAAAAUUAAGUUUCGCUUAUUUUAGGAUUGUGAGGCGUCUUUAAAACAUAAAACGGAGUUAGUAAACAAGCUAGAGGCUAAGGCACAAAAUUUGACCGAUACAAUUCAGUCUCUCGAAACUAAGUUAAAACAUUGCGAAGAAACCCGUAUGUCAAUGGAACGAGUAAAGCGCGA
rnacentral:misc_RNA from 1 species